rnacentral:rRNA from 1 species
GAUGAACGCUGGCGGCGUGCUUAACACAUGCAAGUCGAACGGAGUUUAGAUGAAAGCUUGCUUUUGACUAAACUUAGUGGCGGACGGGUGAGUAACGCGUGGGUAACCUGCCUUAUCCAGGGGGAUAACAGUGAGAAAUUACUGCUAAUACCGCAUAAGCGCACGGUAUCGCAUGAUACAGUGUGAAAAGAUUUAUCGGGAUAAGAUGGACCCGCGUCUGAUUAGCUGGUUGGUGAGGUAACGGCCCACCAAGCCCUCGAUCGGUAGGGGUUCUGAGAGGAAGGUCCCCCACAUUGGAACUGAGACACGGUCCAAACUCC